rnacentral:rRNA from 1 species
UACGUAGGGUCCGAGCGUUGUCCGGAAUUACUGGGCGUAAAGAGCUCGUAGGUGGUUUGUCGCGUUGUUCGUGAAAACUCACAGCUCAACUGUGGGCGUGCGGGCGAUACGGGCAGACUGGAGUACUGCAGGGGAGACUGGAAUUCCUGGUGUAGCGGUGAAAUGCGCAGAUAUCAGGAGGAACACCGGUGGCGAAGGCGGGUCUCUGGGCCGAUACUAACGCUGAGGAGCGAAAGCGUGGGGAGCGAACAGG